rnacentral:rRNA from 1 species
UGCUAUACAUGCAAGUCGAGCGGACAGAUGGGAGCUUGCUCCCUGAUGUUAGCGGCGGACGGGUGAGUAACACGUGGGUAACCUGCCUGUAAGACUGGGAUAACUCCGGGAAACCGGGGCUAAUACCGGAUGGUUGUCUGAACCGCAUGGUUCAGACAUAAAAGGUGGCUUCGGCUACCACUUACAGAUGGACCCGCGGCGCAUUAGCUAGUUGGUGAGGUAACGGCUCACCAAGGCGACGAUGCGUAGCCGACCUGAGAGGGUGAUCGGCCACACUGGGACUGAGACACGGCCCAGACUCCUACGGGAGGCAGCAGUAGGGAAUCUUCCGCAAUGGACGAAAGUCUGACGGAGCAACGCCGCGUGAGUGAUGAAGGUUUUCGGAUCGUAAAGCUCUGUUGUUAGGGAAGAACAAGUGCCGUUCAAAUAGGGCGGCACCUUGACGGUACCUAACCAGAAAGCCACGGCUAACUACGUGCCAGCAGCCGCGGUAAUACGUAGGUGGCAAGCGUUGUCCGGAAUUAUUGGGCGUAAAGGGCUCGCAGGCGGUUUCUUAAGUCUGAUGUGAAAAGCCCCCGGCUCAACCGGGGAGGGUCAUUGGAAACUGGGGAACUUGAGUGCAGAAGAGGAGAGUGGAAUUCCACGUGUAGCGGUGAAAUGCGUAGAGAUGUGGAGGAACACCAGUGGCGAAGGCGACUCUCUGGUCUGUAACUGACGCUGAGGAGCGAAAGCGUGGGGAGCGAACAGGAUUAGAUACCCUGGUAGUCCACGCCGUAAACGAUGAGUGCUAAGUGUUAGGGGGUUUCCGCCCCCUUAGUGCUGCAGCUAACGCAUUUAAGCACUCCGCCUUGGGGAGUACGGUUCGCAAGACUGAAACUCAAAGGAAUUUGACGGGGGCCCCGCACAAGCGGUGGA